rnacentral:lncRNA from 1 species
GCGGGAUGGAGACGGCAGCGAAAUGGCCGCCCGGCCGCGCCCAGGCUCUCCGUGCUGCCGCGCCGAGGGCGCAGGCAGGCAGGCAGGCCCGGCGGCCGGGGGCCGUUUGCUCGCAGUCCCCUCACCCCAGCCGUCCCCCUCCCGCACACAUUGCUCGUCCAGACGGCGCUGUCUGCACGCACGCUCCGGGCCUUGCACGCCGCCGUUUUGUCUCGGCUACCAGAGGCACUCAGCCGUGCUUUCCGUAGGACGGCUGUUUUUCCAGAGAGCGCCUUGGUGGGGCUGCAUUACAUCAGCCCCAGCGCUGUGCCAGGCUGCUUCCAAGCAUCGCACUAAUUUGUUUUAAAGAUCAUUUUCUAACGCUAGUUAUUGCACAGGAAAACUGGAAUCCGUGACUGGGUGGAACAGCAGGAGUUUGUACACAUAAACGAGUCCAUCAUCUCUGACUCCAGCACUCAGCCAGCUCCGUGCUUCCCAUGAGAGCUGUCUGGUGCUCAGCAAGUAUUAACACUUCAGCGCUACGCCAAGAAUCUCCUUGUGCUGAAGGAUCUGUUUUUCAACCUGUGGGUCGGCUGCAAUCAAGUCUAACAAACAAGUGGACAUCUCAGAAAGAUGGUGCUGAUUUCUGAUGUCCUGUCAAGAACGCAGGAAGGAAAGAAGGACAGAAGAUUUAGGUAGUUAGUGUUUGCAUUUGUGUGUAGUUAAUUAUGCUAACAACAUAUAGUGAGAUUUGUUCAACAAUGCGCAGUUUACAUCUUUUGGAAGCAUCAUACACGGGAACAAAGUAAGAUUCAUAACUUGUCAAAGACCUGGUCACUGAUGGUAAGAAACA